rnacentral:rRNA from 1 species
GUCGAGCGAGCGGGAACUAACAGAUUUACUUCGGUAAUAGGACGUUAGGAAAGCGAGCGGCGGGAUGGGUGAGUAACGACGUGGGGAACCUGCCCCAUAGUCUGGGAUACCACUUGGAAACAGGUGCUAAUACCGGAUAAGAAAGACAGAUCGCAUGAUCAGCUUUUUAAAAAGGCGGCGUAAGCUGUCGCUAUGGGAUGGCCCCGCGGUGCAUUAGCUAGUUGGUAAGGUAAAAGGCUUACCAAGGCGAUGAUGCAUAGCCGAGUUGAGAGACUGAUCGGCCACAUUGGGACUGAGACACGGCCCAAACUCCUACGGGAGGCAGCAGUAGGGAAUCUUCCACAAUGGACGCAAGUCUGAUGGAGCAACGCCGCGUGAGUGAAGAAGGUUUUCGGAUCGUAAAGCUCUGUUGUUGGUGAAGAAGGAUAGAGGUAGUAACUGGCCUUUAUUUGACGGUAAUCAACCAGAAAGUCACGGCUAACUACGUGCCAGCAGCCGCGGUAAAU